rnacentral:rRNA from 1 species
UAUGUGAUCGUCUCUCGCAUAUCAAUAAUGCGGAGGAAAAGAAACUAACAAGGAUUCCCCUAGUAACGGCGAGUGAAGCGGGAAGAGCUCAAAUUUGAAAUCUUAAAGGGUUUCCCUUUACGAAUUGUAGUUUAAAGAAGUGUUUUCUGUUGAGGUUUUGGUAAAAGUUCUUUGGAAUAGGACAUCAUAGAGGGUGAGAAUCCCGUAUUUGACCUUUACUUUCAACUUUGUGAUACACUUUCAAAGAGUCGGAUUGUUUGGGAAUGCAGUCCAAAAUGGGUGGUAAAUUUCAUCUAAAGCUAAAUAUUGGCGAGAGACCGAUAGCGAACAAGUACCGUGAGGGAAAGAUGAAAAGAACUUUGAAAAGAGAGUUAAACAGUACGUGAAAUUGUCAAAAGGGAAGCGUUUGACACCAGUGUUGUUUUUCUGAAAAUCAAUUAAAGAACUGUUUAUGCUAAGCUGUUUAGACUUUAUCAGCUAUACUGUUUAGUUUUGAGCUUUUCUUUAAUGCACUUUUCAGUUAACAAGUCAACAUCAAUUUCUUUUGCUGUAAAAAAGCUUGAGGAAGGUGGCUUGAGAUUCGUCUUAAGUGUUUAUAGCCUCUUGCCUACGCAGUCGGAGAGAUUGAGGUCUGCAGCGUAGAUCCUUCGGGGCUAAAUGCAUUUGUGCUAAGUUAUAGCAUUUUAUAGACAACUUGUUGACUAUGAUUUGUCUUGUAGCUUACUCGCUUAUGUUAUUUUACCUACGCUUAGGAUGUUGACUGAUAUGUAGUCGU